CUGGCUCCUGGUAAUGCAAUAUCUGAGGUAACCUAAGUGACCCCUGCUCAGAAUUUGGCCCAAGUUUAGAAUGUCUAUAUAAAGUCUCUUCAGACUUCAUGCUGAAAAUUAAGCACAAAAGAAAUACGGAUACAGGACGAGAAUAUAUAUAGGGUAAAAUACCAGCCACACUGAUAGGAAAAACUCCCACUGAUUUCAAUGGGGCCAGGAUUUCAUCCUUAAUUUACUGAUUUAUGGUGGAGCAAGGCAGAGCGAAACCAUUUCUUUAUUUCUUUGAGAUGAACAUUUCUCCUAAAGUGCAAGAGAAGAGUUACUAUAAAUGCCAGUACAGAUAGAAGUGUUGGAGAUGUUUGGCUGAAAGGAUUCAUGUUCAGCAGCAUGAUUGCUUGGUUAAGGCUAGUAACAAAACUUAAGAUGGAUUGAAGGGAAGAAGUGGGUAUCAUUUAUAACAAAGGUGCUCAUCUUGCCUUGUUGGCAUACCGGUCAACACUACUAGCAAAUGGAUUCAGCCCUGUGGAACUGCUGAUGGAAAGGAAGUUGAGAUCCAUCAUACCAACAAUCUCUUACCAACUAAACACUUUUUUGGCCUGAUUGCCUGAGACUACAGAAGAAGGAAGAGAAUUUAAAAAAACCCAUCAGAAAUGGGACUUUGACAUGUGCCAUAGAGUCAAAUUCCUGGGAGCACUGAAUUCAGGAUUCAGUUUGGGUGAAAGAUUCUAAAGAAAAGGGCACAGUGAGGGGAUGUGGCAGGACACUUGAAUCCUACUUUGUUAGGUUGGCAGAAGGAAUGAUCUGUUGGGACUUGUUAUUGUCCAAUACAUUCUGAUUGCUACCCUGAUCCUGAGCCUGUGAACAAUCCCCUGCUGCCCAGGGGUGAAAGUAACUUAAAGGACUUACCGGUAUGCCGGAGUCCUGAGCAGGGGCGUGGUCUCAACCAGAAGA